AUUGAACGCUGGCGGCAUGCCUUACACAUGCAAGUCGAACGGCAGCACGGGAGCAAUCCUGGUGGCGAGUGGCGAACGGGUGAGUAAUAUAUCGGAACGUGCCCAGUCGUGGGGAUAACGUAGCGAAAGCUACGCUAAUACCGCAUACGAUCUACGGAUGAAAGCGGGGGAUCGCAAGACCUCGCGCGAUUGGAGCGGCCGAUAUCAGAUUAGGUAGUUGGUGAGGUAAAGGCUCACCAAGCCGACGAUCUGUAGCUGGUCUGAGAGGACGACCAGCCACACUGGGACUGAGACACGGCCCAGACUCCUACGGGAGGCAGCAGUGGGGAAUUUUGGACAAUGGGCGCAAGCCUGAUCCAGCAAUGCCGCGUGCAGGAUGAAGGCCUCGGUUGUAAACUGCUUUGUUACGGAACGAAACGGUAGAGCUCUAAUAC
rnacentral:rRNA from 1 species